AGGAAGAGCAAGAAAACGGUGAAUACUGCUAAUACUCACAACCAGGGUUAAACUCCAUGGCUUCCUC
rnacentral:tRNA from 1 species